GAUGUACGCUAGCUACAGGCUUAACACAUGCAAGUCGAGGGGAAACGACAUCGAAAGCUUGCUUUUGAUGGGCGUCGACCGGCGCACGGGUGAGUAACGCGUAUCCAACCUGCCCAUCACUUGGGAAUAACCUUGCGAAAGUAAGACUAAUACCCAAUGACAUCCCACGAAGACAUCUGAAUGGGAUUAAAGAUUUAUCGGUGAUGGAUGGGGAUGCGUCUGAUUAGCUUGUUGGCGGGGUAACGGCCCACCAAGGCAACGAUCAGUAGGGGUUCUGAGAGGAAGGUCCCCCACAUUGGAACUGAGACACGGUCCAAACUCCUACGGGAGGCAGCAGUGAGGAAUAUUGGUCAAUGGGCGAGAGCCUGAACCAGCCAAGUAGCGUGCAGGAUGACGGCCCUAUGGGUUGUAAACUGCUUUUAUAAGGGAAUAAAGUGGGUCUCGUGAGACUUUUUGCAUGUACCUUAUGAAUAAGGACCGGCUAAUUCCGUG
rnacentral:rRNA from 1 species